GGUGUACUCCCUCCGUUCAGAAUUACUUGUCGCAGAAAUGGAUAUAUCUAGACGUAUUUUAGUUCUAAAUAUAUCCAUUUCCGAGACAAGUAAUUCCGAACGGAGGGAGUAGCUC
rnacentral:pre_miRNA from 1 species